AUGGGGAGGGUGCAGCAAGCCAUGCGCGCCGCCAAGGUCCCCCGCCACGCUCUCGUCCCGAAGCCCUCCGCGGCGUCCACCCCGACGCCCCCUCCCCCGCCACCACGUGGGCCUCGUCCCGCCGACGGUAAACCUCCCCACGGCAAGCCGCCACGGAGAACCCCCAGGGCCGCCUCCGAGCACGCGGGGGCCCUGGCCCUGCCGGACCGGCCGGCGCCUCCGGCCGAGAAGAGGCCCAUCACCACGCCCGCGGAGCUCUCGGCCGCCAUCCGCGCCGCGGUGGACGCCGACGUGGACGCGGCCGCCUCGCUCGCGCUCAAGGCCGCGCCCACCAUCCCGCUCCCGGCGCAGUCGCUCGCGCUCCUCCUCCGCCGCCUCGCCGCGCACCGCUCCGUGGCCGCGGCGCGGGACCUCCUCGCGGCGCUCCCGUACUCCGCCGACAACCCCGCGCCGCGCCCGGCGCUCCUGGCCCUCGCCGACGCGUGCUGCCGCCGCGGCGACCCGCGCGAGAUCGGGCAGCUCCUGCCCGUCCUCGCCGACCACGGCGUCCGCGCCGACGCCCACGUCUACAACGCCCUCAUGAAGGGCCACUGCGCCGACUCCGACACCGUGGGGCUCCUCGGCGUGCUCCGCCGGAUGAAGGACGACGGUGUGGACCCCGACAUCGUCACCUACAACACCCUCGUCUACGGCCUCGCGCGCGCCGGGCUCGUCGCCAAGGCCAGGACCUACCUCGACGCCAUGGCUGCCGAGGGCCUCUUCCCGGACGUCAUCACCUACACGUCGCUCAUGAACGGGAUGUGCGUCAAGGGCGACGCCCUGGGCGCGCUCAAGCUGCUCGAGGAAAUGGAGGCCAAUGGGUGCGAGCCCAAUGACAGGACGUACAACACGCUGCUCAUGGGGCUCUGCAGGAACAGGAAGCUGGACAAGGCCGUCGAGGUGUACAAGUCCAUGGUAGGGGCUGGGAUGAAGCUCGAGCCGCCGGCGUACGCGACGUUCAUCAGGGCAUUGUGUCGGGCGGGGAGGGUUCCGGAUGCAUAUGAGGUGUUUGAUUACGGGAUCGAGAGCAAGAGCAUUCCGCAGGCAACCGCGUACAGUGAGCUCGAGAGCUCACUCAAGUGGCUGCGCAAGAUGAAGGAGUAG
rnacentral:rRNA from 1 species